rnacentral:lncRNA from 1 species
CCAAAUCCCCCUAUUGCUUACCAUUAUUUAUAAGGUGGAGAAUAUCGUUGUGAUAUAACUCUCGUCCCUGAAUAUUCAGGACAUUGGAGUGAUGGUAUUUACUGGACAGUGACCUCAUUAACUGCCAUCAAGAUCGAAUAAUGGGUAGCUCGUGAGCAAUUAUCGCAUCCCACUACCACGUGCGGUUAAUGCUUGUGUCGGAUAACUAUCAUUUGAUCCCCAGAUUUGUGGAAUUAAUGUAGCCGGU